GAUGAACGCUGGCGGCGUGCCUAAUACAUGCAAGUCGAGCGAACAGACGAGGCGCUUGCUCCUCUGACGUUAGCGGCGGACGGGUGAGUACCACGUGGAUAACCUACCUAUAAGACUGGGAUAACUUCGGGAAACCGGAGCUCAUACCGGAUAAUAUAUUGAACCGCAUGGUUCAAUAGUGAAAGACGGUUUUGCUGUCACUUAUAGAUGGAUCCGCGCCGCAUUAGCUAGUUGGUAAGGUAACGGCUUACCAAGGCAACGAUGCGUAGCCGACCUGAGAGGGUGAUCAGCCACACUGGAACUGAGACACGGUCCAGACUCCUACGGGAGGCAGCAGUAGGGAAUCUUCCGCAAUGGGCGAAAGCUUGACGGAGCAACGCCGCGUGAGUGAUGAAGGUCUUCGGAUCGUAAAACUCUGUUAUUAGGGAAGAACAAAUGUGGAAGUAACUAUGCACGUAUUGACGGUACCUAAACAGAAAGCCACGGCUAACUACGUG
rnacentral:rRNA from 1 species